rfam:Trichobilharzia regenti genome assembly, scaffold: TRE_scaffold0000995
AUCCAGCUGACGAGUCCCAAAUAUGACGAAAUGCACAUCCUGGAU